rnacentral:tRNA from 1 species
GUGAGUGUAGCUCAGCAGGUGGCAGCACCGGGUUGUGGCCUCGGAGGUCGUGGGUUCGAGCCCCUCCACUCACCCCA